rnacentral:lncRNA from 1 species
UCGGCCGGUUGGGAUAGUUGGGUCAAUAUGGGCUUAAGGUGGGCUAGAGAAGAAGAUGGAGAGAGAUUGGCCCGUGGGGGUAUGAUAACCAACUCCGAUACGAGUUGUGUUUGUAAAUAUUUGUUUUCGUUUAAAAUUAGAGAUAGAUCCUAGUCGGUUAGGAAAUCAAUUGUAAUAGGCUAUAAAUAGCCAUCCUUAGAGAUUUGUAAAACAACACAUCAAUCAAUACAAACAAUCUACUUUUUCAUCGUACUUUACUUUCAAGUCGGUGACUUCACCAAUACUUCUUUUUCUUUCACGAGUUCGUACGGGUUGGUAGGAUUGCAUCGACACGAUCUCCGGCCGAUUCUGUAAGUUCCGUUUAUCGAGUAAUAUCUAACAUUUAACUUCGGGCGCAUCGUUGUCGUUUCGUUUAGAUUUAUUCACCAGUUAUCGAUAUUUACUAGAAUUAUAGGUUUUAUCUAUUGUUCUAGUUUUAUCACCAGUUAUCCAGCUUGAGAUUUUGAGCUGUUG